rnacentral:rRNA from 1 species
UACGGAGGGUGCAAGCGUUGCUCGGAAUUAUUGGGCGUAAAGGGUAGGUAGGUGGUCUUAUUUGUCUGGGGUGAAAGCCUUGAGCUUAACUCAAGAAGUGCCCCAGAAACGGUGAGACUAGAGUCUUGGAGAGGGUCGUGGAAUUCCCGGUGUAGCGGUGAAAUGCGUAGAGAUCGGGAGGAACACCAGAGGCGAAGGCGGCGACCUGGACAAGUACUGGCACUCAACUACGAAAGCGUGGGGAGCAAACAGG